rnacentral:rRNA from 1 species
GACGAACGCUGGCGGCGUGCCUAAUACAUGCAAGUCGAACGCAGUGGGGACGGGUGAGUAACACGUGGGUAACCUCCCAUCAGAGGGGAUAACACUUGGAAACAGGUGCUAAACCUAUACUGAUGGAUGGACCCGCGGUGCAUUAGCUAGUUGGAGAGGUAACGACUCACCAAGGCCACGAUGCAUAGCCGACCUGAGAGGGUGAUCGGCCACACGGGGAAGAGGACGCGGCCCAAAAUCGUACGGGAGGAAGCGGUAGGGAAUCUUCGGCAAGGGACGAAAGUCUGACUGACCAAAGCCGGGUGAGUGAAGAAGGGUGUCGGAGCGUAAAACUCUGUGGUUAGAGAAGCGGUAUCUAACCAGAAAGCCACGGCUAACUACGUGCCAGCAGCCGCGGUAUUC